CAGUAGCCGCGGGAAUACGUAGGGUGCAAGCGUUAAUCGGAAUUACUGGGCGUAAAGCGUGCGCAGGCGGUUAUAUAAGACAUAUGUGAAAUCCCCGGGCUCAACCUGGGAACUGCAUUUGUGACUGUAUAGCUAGAGUACGGCAGAGGGGGAUGGAAUUCCGCGUGUAGCAGUGAAAUGCGUAGAUAUGCGGAGGAACACCGAUGGCGAAGGCAAUCCCCUGGGCCUGUACUGACGCUCAUGCACGAAAGCGUGGGGAGCAAACAGGAUUAGAUACCCCGGUAGUCCAUGUCUCUUAUAA
rnacentral:rRNA from 1 species